rnacentral:rRNA from 1 species
UUAAUUAAUUGUCUUGCAAAUAUUAAUCCGCUGGCCUCGCAAGGGGCUAGUUGAUAGAUAACGAUAUAAAUGUGUGUAGUGUUGACAGUGUGUGAUAUUUAAUUAAUUAUUGACAACUUUUAACAAUGGAUCUCUAGGCUCUUGCAUCGAUGAAGAACGCAGCAAAAUGCGAAACGUGAUGCGAUUUGCAUGAAUCUGUGAGUCAUCUAAUCUUUGAACGCGAAAGGCACUGUUACGUAAGUAGCAGUAUGUCUGUUUGAGAAUCGCAAACACGAUCAACUCUAGUUAGAGUUGGGAUUGACCUCAUGCGCUGUUUAUAGCAGCAUUUGGUUUGAAUGAAUCAAGUUGAUGGGUUCCCCAGCAAUGCUCAAUGUGUGCUAGCGAGACAGUCGUCCCGAUCUCACAUUAGUGGUUUUGUUGCAUAUCUCUAAUCACGGCUUGUUUAAAUUUCUAUCUAUUACGAUCUCAAAUCAGGCAAGAUUACCCGCUGAACUUAAGCAUAUCAAUAAGCGGAGGAAAAGAAACUAACAAGGAUUCCCCUAGUAACGGCGAGUGAAGCGGGAAUAGCUCAAAUUUAAAAUCUGGCGUAAAAGCCCGAAUUGUAGUCUAAAGAGGCGCUAUCGGACAUGAAUCUGUUGUACAAGUUCCCUGGAAUGGGACAUCACAGAGGGUGAGAAUCCC